GAUGAACGCUGGCGGCGUGCCUAAUACAUGCAAGUCGAGCGAACAGACGAGGAGCUUGCUCCUCUGACGUUAGCGGCGGACGGGUGAGUAACACGUGGAUAACCUACCUAUAAGACUGGGAUAACUUCGGGAAACCGGAGCUAAUACCGGAUAAUAUAUUGAACCGCAUGGUUCAAUAGUGAAAGACGGUUUUGCUGUCACUUACAGAUGGAUCCGCGCCGCAUUAGCUAGUUGGUAAGGUAACGGCUUACCAAGGCAACGAUGCGUAGCCGACCUGAGAGGGUGAUCGGCCACACUGGAACUGAGCCACGGUCCAGACUCCUACGGGAGGCAGCAGUAGGGAAUCUUCCGCAAUGGGCGAAAGCCUGACGGAGCAACGCCGCGUGAGUGAUGAAGGUCUUCGGAUCGUAAAACUCUGUUAUUAGGGAAGAACAAAUGUGUAAGUAACUAUGCACGUCUUGACGGUACCUAAUCAGAAAGCCACGGCUAACUACGUG
rnacentral:rRNA from 1 species